AGCCGUUGGGAGCCUUGAGCUCUUAGUGGCGCAGCUAACGCAUUAAGUUGACCGCCUGGGGAGUACGGCCGCAAGGUUAAAACUCAAAUGAAUUGACGGGGGCCCGCACAAGCGGUGGAGCAUGGGGUUUAAUUCGAAGCAACGCGAAGAACCUUACCAGGCCUUGACAUCCAAUGAACUUUCUAGAGAUAGAUUGGUGCCUUCGGGAACAUUGAGACAGGUGCUGCAUGGCUGUCGUCAGCUCGUGUCGUGAGAUGUUGGGUUAAGUCCCGUAACGAGCGCAACCCUUGUCCUUAGUUACCAGCACGUAAUGGUGGGCACUCUAAGGAGACUGCCGGUGACAAACCGGAGGAAGGUGGGGGUGACGUCAAGUCAUCAUGGCCCUUACGGCCUGGGCUACACACGUGCUACAAUGGUCGGUACAGAGGGUUGCCAAGCCGCGAGGGGGGGGGGAUCCCACAAAACCGAUCGUAGUCCGGAUCGCAGUCUGCAACUCGACUGCGUGAAGUCGGAAUCGCUAGUAAUCGCGAAUCAGAAUGUCGCGGUGAAUACGUUCCCGGGCCUUGUACACACCGCCCGUCACACCAUGGGAGUGGGUUGCACCAGAAGUAGCUAGUCUAACCUUCGGGAGGACGGUUACCACGGUGUGAUUCAUGACUG
rnacentral:rRNA from 1 species